AAGUCAAGUCAGCACGGCCCUUACGUCUUGGGCUACUCGCACGCUACAAUGGCCGGUACAGCAGGUUGCCAAGGAGCGAUCCGGAGCUAAUCCCCAAAGCCGGCCUCAGUUCAGAUUGCAGGCUGAAACUCGCCUGCAUGAAGGCGGAGUUGCUAGUAACCGCUGGUCAGCACACAGCGGUGAAUACGUUCCCGGGCCUU
rnacentral:rRNA from 1 species